ACAUGCUGUGCUGGCAAACCACACACGUGUUUAUUACAUUUACUCCUGGCUUAUUCUCAAGGUAAGCAAUGCAAGGUAAAGCUAUGCUCAGGUUAUUGAUUAAGCAUAGACUAGGCAAUAGCUCACGUAGUCCCCUUGAAUAGUUCACGUAGCCCCUUCACCAAUCAUGAUUUAUUGCACAAGGGGAGAUGGCUAUGGGUGAACCAAUCAAUAUGUUACAAGUAACUAUGAUCUCAUGCCUUUUGAUCUAAUUACUAAUAAAAACCCCAGCUCAAGAGAGCUCGGGACGCCUGCUUGACAAACCUCUUGACUCCGCGUCUCCUUGAUCCCAACAUCUGGUGACCCCGACGUGAUUCACCGGAUCCCGAGGACCCCUGCUCAUCCGACUGGAAUAGUCUAGGUGCACCCGCUGGAAACAGCCACUCGUGGCAGCAUUGGUACACCGAAUAUCCCUGCAAAAACCUCAACGGCACAACGGCAUUAUCGGACGACCGAAGUUCUUCCUGCUCCAAAGGUAACCUAUCGUCAGCUACCUGGCCCGGAGUGGAGCGAACCUGUGCCACUAAUCACCUGGGGGCGCGGUUACGCAGCUGUAUCAACACCAAGCGGCCCGCUCUGGGUACCUGCACGAUACGUUCGACCAUACAAGGAUGGCGUGGCAUCAGGGACUGAGCAACCCCAUCCCUGACUUCAACAUACACUUAUAUGAUGAACAAGGAAAAGUGACAACGGGCCGAAAACGAGGGGGCCAACGAAAUGCACCUGCCACAUGGGGCCAAGUGAAGAACCUAGCUAAUCAGGCUGAACAACUGUUGGAAAAAACAAACCAAGA